AGGUUCUGGGUGUGGGGAUCAGGACUGGGAGGGGGACAGGACAGCCAGGGGAGGGGUGAAGCCAUGUAGGUGAUCAAGUAGAGCUGCCACUUUCCUUCCUGUCUCUUUUUCUUUUGGCAAAAGAUAUUCAUUCAUCCAAAAUGAAUGCCUUUGGGUAGGGAGGGCAGUGUUGGAGGCAGUUCUGUCUGACAGGCAAGGCAGUGCCUUCUCGAUGGAGACGGAGCAGAGUGAGCCUGGGGAGGAAGAAUUGUGGAGUGAACCAGGUGUGGUCGUAGUACCUGCCCUGGCAUCUGGAGCGCAGCAGGCCUGGAAAUGUAGCAGUGUGCCUCAUGGAAAUGUA
rnacentral:lncRNA from 1 species